UGGGGAAUAUUGCACAAUGGGCGCAAGCCUGAUGCAGUCAUGCCGCGUGUAUGAAGAAGGCCUUCGGGUUGUAAAGUACUUUCAGCGGGGAGGAAGGUGUUGAGGCUAAUAACCUCAGCAAUUGACGUUACCCGCAGAAGAAGCACCGGCUAACUCCGUGCCAGCAGCCGCGGUAAUACGGAGGGUGCAAGCGGUAAUCGGAAUUACUGGGCGUAAAGCGCACGCAGGCGGUCUGUCAAGUCGGAUGUGAAAUCCCCGGGCUCAACCUGGGAACUGCAUUCGAAACUGGCAGGCUAGAGUCUUGUAGAGGGGGGUAGAAUUCCAGGUGUAGCGGUGAAAUGCGUAGAGAUCUGGAGGAAUACCGGUGGCGAAGGCGGCCCCCUGGACAAAGACUGACGCUCAGGUGCGAAAGCGUGGGGAGCAAACA
rnacentral:rRNA from 1 species